rnacentral:rRNA from 1 species
GGAUAACAGGCUGAUCUUCCCCAAGAGUCCAUAUCGACGGGAUGGUUUGGCACCUCGAUGUCGGCUCGUCGCAUCCUGGGGCUGGAGUCGGUCCCAAGGGUUGGGCUGUUCGCCCAUUAAAGCGGUACGCGAGCUGGGUUUAGAACGUCGUGAGACAGUUCGGUCCCUAUCCGCUGUGCGCGUAGGAAUAUUGAGAAGGGCUGUCCCUAGUACGAGAGGACCGGGACGGACGAACCUCUGGUGUGCCAGUUGUUCUGCCAAGGGCAUGGCUGGUUGGCUACGUUCGGGAGGGAUAACCGCUGAAAGCAUCUAAGCGGGAAGCCUGCUUCGAGAUGAGUGUUCCCACCUCCUUGAGAGGGUAAGGCUCCCAGUAGACGACUGGGUUGAUAGGCCGGAUAUGGAAGCCCUGUAAGGGGUGGAGUUGACCGGUACUAAUAGGCCGAGGGCUUGUCCUCAGUUG